GAUGAAGAACGCAGUGAAAUGCGAUACGUAAUGUGAAUUGCAGAAUUCAGUGAAUCAUCGAGUCUUUGAACGCACAUUGCGCCCCCUGGUAUUCCGGGGGGCAUGCCUGUCCGAGCGUCAUUGCUGCCCUCAAGCACGGCUUGUGUGUUGGGCUCCGUCCCCCCGGGGACGGGUCCGAAAGGCAGCGGCGGCACCGAGUCCGGUCCUCGAGCGUAUGGGGCUUUGUCACCCGCUCUGUAGGCCCGGCCGGCGCCAGCCGACAACCAAUCAUCCUUUUUUCAGGUUGACCUCGGAUCAGGUAGGGAUACCCGCUGAACUUAAGCAUAUCAAUAAGCGGAGGA
rnacentral:misc_RNA from 1 species